GGGAGCUUAGAUGUGGAAGCUCUUUGGAAACCAAGAAACACUCUGCAAAUGAAAAGGGAAGCAGAAGUUCUCCUUAGCUGAUUUUUCUUCUUGCCUUAUACUGGGUUCUUUAACACCAGAACAAAAAUAAAUAAAUAAAAGAAUCUUCCAGAAAUUCAUGAAGAGACUUCAGGUCAGGAAAGCCUGAACUUUCUCAUCCAACACCUGUUCAAGUCGGAGGAUGCUGAUUAAUUCAUGAUGGAAAGGUAUCAAUUUCACAGCCCAGACCUCUACAUUCUUGAAAUGCUCUUCUCAUGGGAGACAUUAAAUAAGCUUUGAAUUAACUGUUUCCUUCUUACUACUCUAGAAAGUAUCACGGCUGACUUUUGAUCACUCUCAUGGCUUGACUCAGAUCAUCUUCAUGGGUUUGAAUCAUUAUUCUGGCCAAAGGGUUGUAAUAUUGGCAUUAUCCAGGUCUGAGUCACAUGUUCAUCUCAGAAUCAGAUGGAAUGUACAGGGUGUACCAUGAACAAUUCUGACAUGUGAUUUAAUCUAUGUGUGACUACAUUUUAAAUACAUUUGGGAAGGAUUGAACAAUGAAGUGGAGCCCAUCAAUAUUGGUACUGAAAAUGAGACAGACCUUGUAUUGAAGACAGCGUAACCCCCAAGAGGAAAGGAGCUUGGAGCCCUGAAUCAGAGUAGAAGACAGGCUGAAUGAAUACCAGCCUUGGACUGUUAUGUGAAUGAAAAACAAGUUUUGAGAUUUGUGUGGUUUAUUUAUUAUAGUUACUGUUAUUAUUAAAGUUUUUCACUGCUUU
rnacentral:antisense_RNA from 1 species